AUUGAACGCUGGCGGCAGGCCUAACACAUGCAAGUCGAGCGGCUGCGAGGAGCUUGCUCUUCGAUUCAGCGGCGGACGGGUGAGUAAAGCCUAGGAACCUGCCCAGUCGUGGGGGACAACGUUUCGAAAGGAACGCUAAUACCGCAUACGUCCUACGGGUGAAAGCAGGGGAUCUUAGGGCCUUGCGCUAUCAGAUGGGCCUAGGUCGGGUUAGCUAGUUGGUGGGGUAAUGGCUCACCAAGCCGACGAUCUGUAGCUGGUCUGAGAGGACGAUCAGCCAACCUGGAACUGAGACACGGCCCAGACUCCUACGGGAGGCAGCAGUGGGGAAUUUUGGACAAUGGGCGAAAGCCUGAUCCAGCAAUGCCGCGUGUGUGAAGAAGGGCUUCGGAUUGUAAAGCACUUUUGUUUGGAAAGAAGGGGAUUAAGUUAAUACCUGGGGUUUAUGACGUUACCGAAAGAAUAAGCACCGGCUAACUCCGUGCCAGCCGCCGCCGUAA
rnacentral:rRNA from 1 species